GAUGAACGCUAGCUACAGGCUUAACACAUGCAAGUCGAGGGACCGGCGCACGGGUGAGUAACACGUAUCCAACCUGCCCUUUACUCGGGGAUAGCCUUUCGAAAGAAAGAUUAAUACCCGAUAUAAAGGAUGGGGAUGCGUUCCAUUAGGUUGUUGGUGAGGUAACGGCACACCAAGCCUUCGAUGGAUAGGGGUUCGGAGAGGAAGGCGCACUAGAUCGGAACGGAGACACGGACCAAAAUCGUACGGGACGCAGCAGUGAGGAAGAUUGGGCAAUGGGUGCUAGCCUGAACCAGCCAAGUAGCGUGAAGGAGGAAGGGGUAGGGGUCGUAAACUUCUUUUAUAUAAGAAUAUGUAUUAUAUGAAUAAGGAACGGCUAACUCCGUGCCAGCAGCCGCGGUAAUUC
rnacentral:rRNA from 1 species